UCUCUACUUGUAAAGCCUGACGGAGGUGUCUGAGGCGGUAUAUCAUGUGGCUCAAACUCCAUCCUGGAGCUCCAGAAGAGGCCCUCUGGACUGGGGCCCAAGCAGCGGUGGACUCUCAACAACAACAACAACAACAACUCUGUCAAGUAACCCAAGAGAGGAGGAAGAGAAUGGACAAUUUACAACAAUAUGCACAGACAACAAGAAGAAGAAGAAGAAGAGCAAGAAGAUGAGGAGGAGGAAGAGAAUGGAAGAGAAGGAGCAGCACACACUAUUGACACUAGGAACUGAAGGAGAUGAGGAGGGACAGAGCGCACUGCCGACACUUCCUGAACGCCUACAACAGCACGCUUGGGGACAGUCGACAGGUGUUCGCCGUGCCCUGCUACACUAUGCACAUUGGGAACCUCAAGCUGUGCAAGCCUAAGUGUGAGUUACCCGAGGGUUUGGAUUGACUUCAACCUGGGCACCUCCUCCAUCCUCAUCCUGUGCCAGGUGGAGAGCACGCCCCAGCCCUCCCACCCGGUAA